AUUUCAAGAUCCAUCAUUCACUAUCCUCUCCCAAACCUUGCUUCUUUCCACACCCUUCUUGUGCACUGCUGCUUCAGAACCCGACCCCAUCACUUUCGGUGAUGUGGGGGGUUGAAGAGUAGGAAGAGUCCUUAGUUGAGGAUGGGGUGUGCGUAGAGGUGAUGAAACUGGACAAGAACUCGUGCAGAAUCGAAUCGAGAAUUUCCAUUGAAGCUUCUCUGUCUUCCAUUUGAAACAUCUUGACUGAUUACGAGAAGUUGGCUGAUUUCAAAAGGGUGACAAUUAUGCCCGUCUUUUGCAGAUUGGACAGCAAAAUAUAACAUUUGGAGUAAAAUUCAAUGCUAAAGGAAUUGUAGAUUGUUAUGAGAAAGAAUUGGAGACUCUUCCUUCUGGUAUUAAGCGUGAAAUUGAAUUCAAGAGAAGAUUGAAGGAAAUUUUCAACUCUGAAGGAAAAUGGUCUAUUUUUCAGCUCUUCAUGUAGAAAGAACAGAGGAGAAAAUGAUCAAGAAGGAUAGAAAGGGAGAGAGUGGAGAAGGCCUUGCAAUAUUCUUACAGAGACCAAAGGAUCAAUGUUGUCACAAGUGUUCAUGGGCUAUGUUUUCUCACUUCCUUUCUUCUCUUACUUAUCCAUAAUCUUUUACAACCCCGUACAAGAUCAAAAAUUCAAAUCUUGCAAGUUUUCAAACUUUCAUAGAGGAUUAAGUGUCUGUUUUGUUUUAUAAGAUAUAAGUAGCUAUUACUAUUGCAUCUGCAUGUUUCAGGAUUAGAUUAGUAAUGUUAGAAAGCCAAUAUCUUCACAUAUGUAUGUAUAAC